GCACUUUUGAGGAGUCCUAAAAUAGGACGAAACGGCCGUCCAGUGC
rnacentral:hammerhead_ribozyme from 1 species